AUUGAACGCUAGCGGCAUGCCUUACACAUGCAAGUCGAACGGCAGCGGGGGAGCUUGCUCCCGCCGGCGAGUGGCGAACGGGUGAGUAAUACAUCGGAACGUACCCAGUAGCGGGGGAUAGCCCGGCGAAAGCCGGAUUAAUACCGCAUACGCCCUACGGGGGAAAGGGGGGGAUCGCAAGACCUCUCACUAUUGGAGCGGCCGGUGGCUGAUUAGCUAGUUGGUGGGGGAAAGGCCUACCAAGGCGACGAUCAGUAGCUGGUCUGAGAGGACGACCAGCCACACUGGGACUGAGACACGGCCCAGACUCCUACGGGAGGCAGCAGUGGGGAAUUUUGGACAAUGGGCGAAAGCCUGAUCCAGCAAUGCCGCGUGUGCGAAGAAGGCCUUCGGGUUGUAAAGCACUUUUGUCAGGGAAGAAAUCGUUUGGGUUAAUACCCCGAGCAGUUGACGGUACCUGAAGAAUAAGCACCGGCUAACUACGUGCCAGCCGCCGCCGUAA
rnacentral:rRNA from 1 species